GACAUUUGGUAGAGACUGUUGAAGCCACCUGGUUUCAGCAGAACCCGGAAGGCAGCCACAUUUGUUGGUGCUGGGGCAAGGUUGUUAAGGGUGAAGCCUGGUGCCAGAUGUGU
ensembl:rRNA 5S_rRNA 5S ribosomal RNA